UCAUCUAAUAGUUGUGUUGUAAAUGUGUGUUAUGCCUGUGUUUAGACCAUCUAGAUUACAUUUCACUGUUGUGACCCAAAGCGUUCUUGAGAGCUCAAAGAAACGCAACUAUUUUGUUUGUCCAUAUGUAUUGUUUAUAAAUAAAGUGUUUGUUUUUAGCCCUUUCUGUGUGUUAAAAAAAAGAACUUUAUUUUAUAAAUAUUUAUUAGUUCAGAUAUUGGGUUGGCAGGUAGUCUAGUGGUUAGCGCAUUGAGUCUGUUCCCCAGGAGGCGUCAUUGUAAAUAUACAUUUGUUCUUUAACUGACUUUGCCUAGUUAAAUAAAAUAAAUUGGGCCCCUGUAUAGUAUGAGAUUUGCAACACACAUUGACGAGAAUGGGGUGGGGAAAAGUCGAAUUAAGGAAGUACAGUUUCACUCAUGUUUGCCCCUAGGAAAAAAAUAUUUUUAUUAAAGCAUUGUGUGUGUUUAUUGAUUUAAUUCAGUUUGCCUUGAGACAUCAAGGCCAGCUUGAUUUUCUGGUUGGUGUUCUGCGGUUGCGCAUUCAGUUGUUACCGAAAACUCGUAAGUAAAAUCACAUGAUUUGUGUCUUGUCAUAUGACAUUGAUGAGGGCGACAAGCAACCAGCGACUCACUGUGGACUUCACUAAAAGAAGGAACCCUAAACUGUCAGGGAUGAAAUUCUUAACUUUUUUGUGCCGAUAAUAUGUGGAGUAUGGAAUGUUGGGGAGUUUUGUCUACGAUUGCUGCCGCCUGUCUGUUAGGUGUGGUGGUGAGCCAGACGACGGCUCCCACAAUGGCUCCUGCUCUGAUGAACACCACAUUCAUUGAGAAUGUGACGGCGACCACCAGAGUCAGUGAGACCACCACAGUCAGUGAGAAUGUGACCUUGACCACACCCAUGAUCCUCAGCACCACAUCUCCAGGCUGCUCUGCCCUCAACACCUCCACCUGUGAGACCUGUGUCCCAGGGUCCUACUCUGACAAUGACACCCUGCUGUGUUCCUGUUGCCAUGAGCCAGGGCUGUGUCUGUUCGCUGGGGCUUGCCUCCCAUGUUCGAGAGGGUUCUUUCAGCCUCUGGCUGGACAACAGCGAUGUCAGCCCUGCAGCCAGGGUUUUUACACCAAUUUUACCGGCAGCCUUAUGUGUCAGUCCUGCUCCCCAGGCUCCUACAGCAACAACACAGGCUCCGACUCCUGCCGAAGCUGUUCUCCAGGUUUCUAUACAUCACAACAAAAUGCCACAUCGUGCAGUCCAUGUCAACAGGGAACGUUCUGCAACUCCUCCAGUUGUGCUCUGUGUCAGAUCUGUCCUGCUGGUACAGAGUCUCUGCAGCCAGCUGCCAAGGAGUGCACACCUUGUCGUCCAGGUAUGCACAAGGCUCCCCGUCAGAGUAUGUGUCAAAUCUGCAGCAGCGGAUUCUUCCAGAUCCGCUGGGGCCAGGAGACCUGUAACCUCUGCCCUGAAAACCACUACUGCCCAAGUCCAGAUGUGAACCCCAUCCUGUGCCCCGGUGAUGCCUUCUGUCCUGAAGGCAGCACUGCUCCAGGUUACUGCAUGGAGACCUUCUUUCGCAAGGCAGGGGAGGAGUGUGAGCUGGCCCCCGUCACCAUUGCUCUACUUGUCAUCGGAGGAGGAGUGGCCUUACUCUUCGUCAUCCUGCUGGUGUUGCGUCGAAGGCGAGACACAGACGGAGAGCUUUCCCUCGUACGACAACCUCUGUUACGCAAAGAGCGGCCGCAAGGUCGAUACUACGGGAUCCCAUGUGAUGCCGAGCCAGUAUACGCUGGUUGGUGAGCAUGUCCCCAGCCCCAUCAGAUGCCUCCAAUUAUUGGGGUCAAAUGUCUGGCUUUCAGAGCAGAAUCAGCUGAAUUCUAUGUGCCUCAGCUUUGGACUAAUGGACCAUAAGAGAAAGCAAACUCACACCAAAUCCUAGCCAUGGUUUACUAUGUCCAUUUGAGUACUUUUGAUAACUCACCAGCUCUUUCAUGCGGUACGUCUUUUAGAUGUAUUCUUUUAUUUAUUUAACUAGGCAAGUCAGUUACGAACAAAUUCUUAUUUUCAAUGACGGCCUAGGAACAGUAGGUUAACUGCCUUGUUCAGGGGCAGAACGACAGAUUUUUACCUUGUCAGCUCGGGGAUUCAAUCUUACUAGUCCAACGCUCUAACCACUAGGCUACCUGCUGCCGUCAUUCUUGACAAGCAGAAGUGUUUUUCUUCUGUAUUUUGUGCUUUAGUGAACCCUAUUACAUUUGUUAAAAAGAAAAACACUGUUCUUUAAAAGAAAAGUAUAUUUGUAUGAUUUAAAGAAAAAACACUGACUCCAGUCCAGGGUAUAUACUGGAAUAAAGCACAACUUUGCACUACUUAAGUGAAAUUCUGUUGUAUAAUUACUAGCCUAUAAAAUAAGAUGCAGGCUGAAGGUAUUUCCAUGAUGCAAGUUUAUUAACAAAAUGUCUGUAAAACACCAAAAGGAUGUUUCAUGAGGUGUGCGAGCAAGAAAACUAACUUUUUACAGGAUCGCGUACUGAUUGUCCUAAUGUGGUACACCGUAGUAGUUCAUUGCGUAACAAAAAUAGAUGGGGGGCCACCAUGGCAAGGAACGUCUCUGGUAUGUAAUGCUUUGCCACAUUAUUCAGAUAAUAGCUACCUGUGAUCAAUUCAAUGUUUUCUGUAAACUCUAUUGCUCUGUUUUACAAUCAUAAUAGCUAAUCUCUUGCCUAACAAGGCAACUUUCAUGGCUAUGAUUACCACAUUCUAAGGUUAUCAAAUGCCAGCUCAUACAUACUCUAGUCAGAUUAAUCGGUAGUUAUACACUGAGUAUACAAUACAGAAUGUUGAGUAAAAUUAAUUUAAACGUACUCUACUGGUUGUCUGUGGUUUGUCCGGCUGCUUGAAAUUUGAGACAAAAUAUUCUCAGUAUUGUUUACCCGACUUAGAGAGCUGGUAGGUAUGGUUCGGUUAGGCACCAAGGUAAAAAUUUGCUUUAAAUUUGAUAUUUGGAUUUUAAACCCCCCUCAACAAAAAAAAAAGUGUGGAUUGUAUCUGUUUUUACCCAACUCAGUAUAUGGCGGCAAUACACCUUUUUGGAUGUAGUCUGCCAAUACAAUCUUAAAAGGGGUUUUCUGCUUGUUUAAAGCUGUGUACAGUUCGUUAAGCGCCAGUUCGCCCCCCCCCUCAAUUUGCCCCACCCUCCUGUCCGCCAGGUGAAUGGAGAAUCCAUCGAGUUGGAUAGCUAUGGGGGGGUGGGUAUCUUGUCUGAGAGCCAUGUUUCUGAAAAGCAAAGAAUAUUGCAGUUCCGAGAGUCCAGUCGGUAGCAAAUCCGCGAUCGGAGGGGAUCUAUUUUAUUAUCAAGUGACUGUUUUUUUCCCUUUGCCUUACUCUCACCAGGAUCCCCCUUCUCUUGUCUCUAACGUCGGCGUUUACUUUUGGGUAGCCCGAAUUUCAGGUUGGAAUUAGAGAGUCCAGGGCAGAUGAGUCGAAGUAGAAGGCAGAAUUGGGGUACAAAUGGGUCCAUGAAGGAUACGAAUGUUUUGCCAGCUGCAUACAAUGCGUUUGGAUAGUAAAAUGAAACAACUCAAUAUCGCCUCGCCAUCUGCUGGCCUUUGGGCUAAAACUGCCUUGACAACCAGUACGAGUAAGUUUAAAUGUAUUUUUAUUCAACAUUCUGGUUUGUAAGGAACAUUUACAUGAUUUUGCACACAUAUGUUUCAGGGUGUAGGCCUAUAUACCAAUGAAUUGUGUAUUACAGCCUGAUUAAUCAGACUAGCCAUACUCAUGCUAGCUUGCUAGCUAUUUCUAUGGUCAAUGUGUUGCUAACGUGUAGUGUAAUGCUAAUGAAUAUACAAGUUAGUGCCAAAAUAAUGGACGAAUUUGAAUAAAUGAGGGAUACAAAGUAUAUUGAAAGCAGGUGCUUUCACAAAGGUGUGGUUUCCUGAGUUUAUUAAGCAAUUAUCAUCGCAUCACGAUGGGGCUGUAGUGGAGCAGGUUGAGCACUUCAAGUUCCUUGGCGUCCACAUCACCAACAAACUAACAUGGUCCAAGCACACCAAUACAGUCGUGAAGAGGGCACGACAAAACCUUUUCCCCCUCAGAAGACUGAAAAGAUUUGACAUGGGUCCUCAGAUCCUCAAAAGGUUUUACAGCUGCACCAUUGAUAGCAUGUUGGUUGCAUCACUGCCUGGUAUGGCAACUGCUCGGCCUUCAAAAAGAGGGUGGUGCUUGGAAUCAUUGUUAUUCCUCUGUCAACCAAGGUUACCUGCAAGGAAACACGUGCAGUCAUCAUUGCUUUGCACAAAAAGGGCUUCACAGGCAAGGAUAUUGCUGCCAGUAAGAUUGCACCUAAAUCAACCAUUUAUCAGAUCAUCAAGAACUUCAACUUCACAGUACUAUGUGAUUGCAGCCCCCACCGUUACAGGAUGACCUGUUGGGGUGUCUGGGUGGCAUUAGCAGACAGACAAGCCCAUGCAGGGGUAGUAAGCACAGAACUCUGCACAGUUUGAUGAUGGAUUAUGGUGGAGAAACGACAUAUCUUCUGCCCCCUGGCAAACAGUCAAUGACCUCUGCAAGCCUAUGAAUACAAGAGACGGAAAUUCCUAAAAUUAGGCAAGCCAUUUAGCUACUUUUUCACAACUGAUAACAGUAGCAUAUACAGCUAACUGCCAAACCUAAGGAAACACCAACCAAGUAUCUAAGUAGGGUAUUGGGCCACCACCAAGUGUCUGAAAGUGUCUGAAACGCUACUGAAGGGAUGCGUCUCCAUUCUUCCAAAAUAAAUUCCAUCAAUUGGAGCUCUGUAGAUGGUGGUGGAAAACGCAGUCUCAGGCGCCACUCCAGAAUCUCACAUAAGUGUUCAAUUGGGUUGCGAUCUGGUAACUGAGACAGCCAUGGCAUAUGGUUUAUAUAAUUUUCAUUCUCAUCAAACCAUUCAGUGACCACUCUUGGCCUGUAGCUGGGGGCAUUAUCAUCCUAUGGGGGCAUAGCCAUGGUAGCCAAAAUCAAAUCAAUGUUAUGUCACAUGCGCCGACUACAACAGGUGUAGACCUUACAGUGAAACGAUUACUUACCAGCCCUUGAUCCAACAAUGCAGUUAAGAAAAUACCUUUUAAAAAACUAUUUUAAAUAAUUCAAGAGCAGCAGUAAAAUAACAAUAGCGAGGCUAUAUACAGGAGGUACCGGUGUCGAGGUAAUAUGUACAGUCGUGGCCAAAAGUUUUGAGAAUGACACAUUAAUUUUCACAAAGUCUGCUGCCUCAGUGUCUUUAGAUAUUUGUCAGAUGUUAUUAUGGAAUACUGAAGUAUAAUUAUAAGCAUUUCAUAAGUGUCAAAGGCUUUAAUUGAUAAUUACAUGAAGUUGAUGCAAAGAGUCAAUAUUUGCAGUGUUGACCCUUCUUUUUCAAGACCUCUGCAGUCCACCCUGGCAUACUGUCAAUUAACUUCUGGGCCACAUCCUGACUGAUGGCAGCCCGUUCUUGCAUAAUCAAUGCUUGGAGUUUGUCAGAACUUGUGGGUUUUUGUUUGUCCACCUGUCUCUUGAGGAUUGACCACGUUCUCAAUGGGAUUAAGGUCUGGGGAGUUUCCUGGCCAUGGACCCAAAAUAUCUAUGUUUUGUUCCCCCGAGCCACUUAGUUAUCACUUUUGCCAAGGUGCUCCAUCAUGCUGGAAAAGGCAUUGUUUGUCACCAAACUGUUCCUGGAUGGUUGGGAGAAGUUGCUCUCGGAGGAUGUGUUGGAACCAUUCUUUAUUCAUGGCUGUGUUCUUAGGAAAAAUUGUGAGUGAGCCCACUCCCUCGGCUGAGAAGCAACCCCACACAUGAAUGGUCUCAGGAUGCUUUACUGUUGGCAUGACACAGGACUGAUGGUAGCGCUCACCUUGUCUGCUCCGGACAAGCUUUCCAAUCCCUGUACCUUUUGCAGAAUAUCAGUCUGUCCCUGAUGUUUUUCCUGGAGAGAAGUGGCUUAUUUGCUGCCCUUCUUGACACCAGGCCAUCCUCCAAAAGUCUUCACCUCACUGUGCGUGCAGAUGUACUCACACCUGCCUGCUGCCAUUCCUGACCAAGCUCUGUACUGGUGGUGCCCCGAUCCCGCAGCUGAAUCAACUUUAGGAGACGGUCCUGGUGUUUGCUGGACUUUCUUGGGCGCCUUGAAGCCUUCUUUACAACAAUGAAUACUUUUGCAAGGCACUGUACAGUUGUUGGUUAGCUAGCGAAUUUUAGCCAUAGACGUGACAUGAGUCAAAACACCUAAAAAAUACACUUUAUCAAUAACAUGAUACAACAAUCUGAACCAGACACUUAUUAUUCACCACAUGGCAGCUUCUUGUCAUUGUUGCUAGUUCUCUGACUGUCCAGAAUCAUAACACCACACAGCCUUCUGUCUUCAGAAUCAUAACACCACACAGCCUCCCUUCCACCACACCCACAUAGAGGGAUUUAGGUUGUGAUGGUAUAGCUGGAAAUGUUGUCUUGUCGUUGAAUCAAUUGUCUAAAUAAAAUGCUUCUUAAAAUGUAUUACCUAUUAAAAUAUAAUACAAAAAAAUA